UGCUACUUUUAGUUAAAAUAAA
rnacentral:snRNA from 1 species